GACGAACGCUGGCGGCGUGCCUAAUACAUGCAAGUCGAGCGAACAGAGAAAGUGCUUGCACUUUCAAAGUUAGCGGCGGACGGGUGAGUAACACGUAAGGAACCUACCGAUAAGCGGGGGGACAACAUCCGGAAACGGGUGCUAAUACCGCAUAGGAAGUUUGUUCGCAUGAACAAACUUAGAAAGAUGGCUCUGCUAUCACUUAUCGAUGGCCUUGCGGUGCAUUAACUAGUUGGGCGGAGGUAACGGCUCACCCAAGGUGAUGAUGCAUAGCCGACCUGAGAGGGUAAUCGGCCACAUUGGGACUGAGACACGGCCCAAACUCCUACGGGAGGCAGCAGUAGGGGAAUCUUCCGCAAUGGACGCAAGUCUGACGGAGCAAACGCCGCGUGAGUGAAGAAGGUUUUCGGCUCGUAAAGCUCUGUUGGUAGUGAAGAAAGAUAGAGGUAGUAACUGGCCUUUAUUUGACGGUAAUUACUUAGAAAAGUCACGGGCUAACUACGUGCCCAGCAGCCGCGGGUAAAUA
rnacentral:rRNA from 1 species